UACACAAGAACACUGUCUCCUCCUGUGGCCUGGUCAAGUUCUUGGACCAACCUUCUAAGGAGGACGGUGUGCUCGUAAAAGUGCUGAAGAGACAAGGAGCUAUUCCCUUUGUCAAGACAAAUGUGCCCCAAAGCAUGUUAAGUUAUGAAUCUAGCAACCCCAUCUAUGGCCGGACAGUGAACCCUCAUAACUACCAGAAGACUGCUGGAGGUUCAACAAGUGGAGAGGGGGCUCUCAUCGCAGCAGGAGGCUCUGUGCUCGGGUUCGGCACUGAUAUUGGGG